UACGGAGGGGGCGAGCGUUAUUCGGAAUUACUGGGCGUAAAGGGCGCGUAGGCGGCCACGUCAAGCCACUCGUGAAAUCUCCGGGCUUAACUCGGAACGGUCAAGUGAUACUGUCGGGCUAGAGUGCAGAAGGGGCAACUGGAAUUCUCGGUGUAGCGGUGAAAUGCGUAGAUAUCGAGAGGAACACCUGCGGCGAAGGCGGGUUGCUGGGCUGGCACUGACGCUGAGGCGCGAAAGCCAGGGGAGCGAACGGG
rnacentral:rRNA from 1 species